rnacentral:lncRNA from 1 species
ACAAGAUACCCUACACCUCCCACCAACAACUGGUAUUAGGUAACUCUAUCGCUAAAACAAUUUGGAAAGAAAUCACCUAGUUCUUUUUUAAUCUCUACAGGGAUUUGAAAUAAGACCUCGUAAUACUCAACACACUUCAUUGACCAGUACACCACACCUUGGGUGCCACAAAUGCACCUUAUUACAAUGAAAAAGUCCAAAAGAGAGUUCAAUUAAAAGCUAAAAUAGUUCAUAAACCCUAAAUUAGACAAAUUAUAAGCACCGUAAUACAAAACAAAAACUGAAUCUCAAUAAACAGAACAGAAACCAACAAUUUACACAACGAUAAUUAACCAAAAAAAAAUGCGAAAAAAU